AGGGAUGUAGCUCAGUGGUACAGCAUCUAUCUUGCAUACAGAAGAUGCUGAGUUCAAUCCCUAGCACCUCCA